UGCCAGCAGCCGCGGUAAUACGUAGGGGGCAAGCGUUAUCCGGAAUCAUUGGGCGUAAAGGGUGCGUAGGCGGUUAUGUAAGUUAGAGGUGAAAGGCUAUGGCUCAACCAUAGUAAGCCUUUAAAACUGCAUAACUUGAGUGCAGGAGAGGAGAGUGGAAUUCCUAGUGUAGCGGUGAAAUGCGUAGAUAUUAGGAGGAACACCAGUGGCGAAGGCGACUCUCUGGACUGUAACUGACGCUGAGGCACGAAAGCGUGGGGAGCAAACAGGAUUAGAUA
rnacentral:rRNA from 1 species